rfam:Burkholderia sp. AD24 plasmid unnamed1 sequence.
AAGCGUCUACGUGACUGGCGAGCAAUAGAUGGGGCACCAUCGGGAAGCGUAGACGGUCGAACGCCGUUCGCCUGGGCAUCUUGA